GAAACAUCAGUUGUCAUCUGCACAGACUCCUCCAAUGUUAAAUGAACAAUUCUGGCCAUCAAAUACCCUUAUGGAAACUGUACCCACAGCUGGCAGAUCUGCUUCAUCACACACAGGUUUUGCAAUGGGACUGCUUUAAGGACAAGCCACACCCGCAGGAAACCCUCGGACGUCACAGGAGCUCAGCUGAGCAGUGGGGGUUUCAAUUAAAAACCACAGGAAAGGAAAGGAAUAUGUCAAUAAAACCACACACUU